CUCCCUUUAUCAAAUUGUUUAUGUUAUCAUUUGUUCAAUUAUUAUCAUCGAAAAAACACAAUAAUUAUUAUAUUGUCACAUUGAAUUUAUACAAUUUGUUUGGUAACUUACAUCAUUUAUACAUACAUUCAAUGCUUACACCAACCCAAUAACACUUAUUUUUGUCAAAAGUCGAUAAUGACAAAUUAUUAUUAAAUAAUACAAUAUUUGUUACAUUAUAAUUGAACAAAAUUAAAUUAGUGCAAAAUUGUUCAUAUUUUCAUCAUUA